AGUGAGCGCUGGCGGCGUGCCUAAUACAUGCAAGUCGAACGGAGUGGCGCACGGGUGAGUAAUGUAUAGCUAAUCUGCCCUACACUAGAUGACAACAGUUGGAAAAGGCUGCUAAUACUCUAUAGUGUAGGAUGAGGCUAUAUUGUAUCAGUUAGUUGGUGAGGUAAUGGCUCCCCAAGGCUAUGACGCAUAACUGGUCUGAGAGGAUGAUCAGUCACACUUGAACUGAGACACGGUCCAGGCUCCUACGGGAUGCGGCAUUAGGGUAUAUUGCUCAAUGGGCGAAACCCUGAAGCAGCAGCGCCGCGUGGAGGAUGACACUUUUCGGAGCGUAAACUCCUUUUGUUAGGGAAGCGGUACCUAACGAAUAAGCACCGGCUAACUCCGUGCCAGCAGCCGCGGUAAUAC
rnacentral:rRNA from 1 species